CACGUUUGUUUGCUUACGCUAUCUCAACUAUAUUCUACAACUGCGCCUAGAAUAAUUUUAAUGCUGCAACAAACUUGAUUCAAAUAAUCCUGCUGUUUUGUCAAGAUGGGAGGCAUAGAAAAUGUAUAUGAUUAUCAAAAGUUGCUAUUAGAUGAACAUCCUUGUAUAGCAAUACCUAUCGUACUACCGGAAUUAGCAAUUCAAAAUAGACAAAUUAUUUUGGAACUUUUACUCGAAGAUGAAGACUCUGAACCUGACUAAAUUCAAUGAUUUCAAAAACAAGUCAUGGUCGAUGUGGUUAUCUCCAACAUAAGUGGGGGUUCAAAAAUAACCCAGUGUGUGAUUGCGGAAACGGGGAACAAACAAUAAAUCAUAUAGUAAUCGAUUGCCAAAAAAGCCCGAACAAUCACCUGGAUUACCGAACUUCGACAUCUGUCUAUGAACCCACAUCGCCAGGACGACUCACUUUUAAUAUUUAUGAUUUUUGAAUAAUAUUAUAGUUCUAAUUUAAG